AUUAUGACUCUCGGCAACGGAUAUCUCGGCUCUCGCAUCGAUGAAGAACGUAGCGAAAUGCGAUACGUGGUGUGAAUUGCAGAAUCCCGUGAACCAUCGAGUCUUUGAACGCAAGUUGCGCCCAAGGGACCCUCCCGAGGGCACGCCUGCCUCAUGGGCGUUAGAA
rnacentral:rRNA from 1 species